rnacentral:rRNA from 10 species
UGAGAACUUUGAAGACCGAAGUGGGGAAGGGUUCCAUGAGAACAGCAAUUGGUCAUGGGUGACUCGAUCCUAAGACAUAGGGUAACCCCUUCAUACACGUGAUGCUCGACAUCCGAUGUCAAAAGGGAAUCAGGUUAAUAUUCCUGAAGUGGAACACGGAUCAGCGGUAACGCAAACAAGCCUGGAGACAUCAGCAUGAACUCCUGGAAGAGUUAUCUUUUCU